AGAUAGGCUGGGGAGAAAUUGUUUUUUGUUCAGUGUUCUUCGCUUCACAGCAUUCACUUUUUGUCUCUUUUGUUUUUUCUGUUUCUUUUCUUCUCUUUACCUUAUUCUGCGUUCAUGAUUUUUAGAUUCACCAAGUUCAUCAUUUAUUUAUGUAUAUACAAUAGAUCUUUUCUCUUAUCUAUUCCUUUAAUGUCUGCAGAUCCACAUUGCAUGUCUACGUAAUCCAAUACUUUGAACUUGCUUUUUAAUUCUAACUUUGAUGACGUAAACAGUUGGCAUAAUGUGACUCAGGUCGUAACACUGCUGUUGCUACGCAUAUAUGUAUUUCAAAUGUAAUGCUGGAAUUACCCCUCUAUCACCAGAGCUGCUCUUACUAACUUUUUCAAAACUUUAAAGUAAUUCAUAUUAAUCAAUGAAGCAAGUUUACAAUUUGUGUAGAUUCACAACUUGUGCCAACUGUUUGUGUUUAUAGGUAGCACCUUGUUAGCCACAGGAUGACUGUGCCCGAACUGUUGCUCUGCCUUAUACACAUUUCCUUGACUGUGUAUUGUGUUCUUCACUCGUUUUCCUUUCCUCUGAUCAUAGUCCAGUAAUUUGUUGUACUUUAUCCUUAACGUACUAUCAUACAUAAUUUUUGUUUGUUUCUUCUUUGCUUUAUGCACACAAUCCCAGACUUAACUGACACAAGUGUAGUUUGUAUUAAAUAAAUGUAUAGCUGGGCUGUAGAGCUAGUCGUUUUCUCUGCUCAAAUAUAGCUCAGAUACUCACUUAGUGCACUAACACCAUCCUUCUAUCUUCCCUUCCUCUCUUUGAAUACUUUCUGCAACUCUCUCUUUGGUUUUCAUAAACUUUUCUUGAACUAAGUAAAGGAAAACAUUGUCGACAUGUGGGUGGGGGUAGCAUUUUUAAGUUAAGCCAUAGGUUUUUGUUUCUUUUUUUUAAAAACUUUUCCUUUUUGUUCUUCUUUGUUUCUCCUUUUAUGUUUUAAAUCUUUUGUUGUUAUGCCACAAUUAAAGGGAAAUGAAGCUUUAAAUCUCAAGGGGUUUGAGAGAGAGAGAGAACACCCCCCCUCCCCCCUCCAUCAUUUUCUGCCUUGUUUCUGUGACUAACAAAACCCUAAUGGCUCUAUGUCUGUGUUGUGGCAUGGUGUGUAGCUGCGUUCAAAGCUGUCUGAAAAGCAAAAGCUUCUAGAACGUGAAAUGUCCGCCAAUAAGCAGCUCAGUGAGAGACUGGCUCAACUUGGAGUCCUGGGACUUUGGAAAUGAUUUCAGGUCUGAAUAUCUUUUUUUGCACACCUUUUCUUGGCAUUUUUGUUAGUUGUUUUUUUUCUUCUCCAAACUGUAUCAGACAUUGGCCAGGGCACAAAUGUAACUAUUGUCCAGUUGCUCCUCCUGCUCAACAUGAUUGUAACCUCUCGGUGAACAUACGCCAACUGGAGACGGUUUUUGCUUGACUUUGUUUAUAUUUUCUUGCUCUCGGAGCUUUGUGUCUUAACAUGCUAAUGAUAAUGGAUUGCCUUCGUUUUAUGCACAUGUGUAAGAAAAAUGAAGCUUUACAAUUGUUUCUUUUCAUUCCUACAACUACAAUAUUUAAAAGUGCAAAAGAGGUCACAUGAUAGGGGAAAAAAACCUAACAGAUUAUCGUACAUUUCGGUAUAUAAAGAGAUGUAACAGGAACUCAUAGAACUUUUGUGUAUAUAAAUGAGAUAAUUAAUGUGACGAUUUGAAAGGUCAGCGGAGUAAUUUCGAAAAAUCAUCCUGGAUACUGCCAUCAGUGUGGUUUUUAUGAUGGAAACUGUUCACUUUUCUUGUUCUUCAUUCCUGGCGUUUGAUGGAAAUGUAGUCUCUCUCUUGUCCAUUCCCUGAGCUAUGUGUAUCUUACUCUGUAUAUAUGCCCGACCCCCCCUGCUUUCCCCCUUUUGAAUUUUUGAAAAUUUCUGUGUUCUUUGCAGAAGAAUUGAUAACCCUAGACAGGUGAUAUUUCUAGUACUAGUAAAGAAAUUCUUCUGCAGUGAAAAGAUGGAGAACAUUAUGGUGUAGGCGGAGACAGCACCAUAAUUAUGCAUAGAGAUAUUUAACAGUAUUAACCACUAAAGCAAUUUAUGUGGGAAUUACACAGAGGUACAGACAAAAGGUUAAUAUGUUCAAGUUAUCCUUAGAUUGAUAAUGUAAUGAAAACACUUGAUGACAUGUUUCAAUCUUCAGUAAGAGUGAGGUGCUGGUUAUGGAGCGUUGUGCAGCUCAAAGUGAACCCAUUUCACAUUGUGUUUGGUUUGAUACAAAAGUGACAAGAUAAGGUUUGGUUCAUGUACUGACUUCACAGGCUUUGGGCAAUUUCUACUUUAUAAAGGAGACAGAUGGAACCAUUGCAUUUAUAAUAUGUAUAUUUUGUCUUUUCAUCUUUUUAUCUUAUCUUUUUUUUUUACUUACAACUUGAAAAAAAGAAUUUCCCAUUAUUGGGACUGCUUUUAAUCUCACCGGUCUAUAAUAACUUACCAUACCUUUUCCUUUUUAAGAAAACGGGUACCACUACUUUUGAGAACUUAAUGCAUUGAUGAGAAUCUUACUAGUUCUUUGAGCUGAACCUUAUUUCUAUUUCAUAACAUUAUCAACCACAGAAAGUGGAUCUCUUUGUAUUUUUUUUAAA
rnacentral:lncRNA from 1 species